UAGAGGAGGGCAAGUACCGCUUGGCGGCCGUUGCUUUACACAUGCAAGUCGAGCGAUGGCGGGUACAAUACCCCAGUCGGAGUCGGCGAACGGGUAGAGUAACUGGAUAACCUUGCCCUGAGGUGGGGAAUAACCCUGGGGAAACUCGGGCUAAUACCGCAUGAUACCGAAGAGGUCAAAGCGGGGUCGCAAGAUCUCGCGCCACAGGAGGGGUCCGCGUUCGAUUAGCUAGUUUGUAGGGUAAUGGCCUACCAAGGCGACGAUCGAUAGCCGGCCUGAGAGGGUGAUCGGCCACACUGGAACUGAGACACGGUCCAGACUCCUAUGGGAGGCAGCAGUGGGGAAUUUUGCGCAAUGGGCUAACGCCUGACGCAGCAACGCCGCGUGGAGGAUGAAGGUCUUUGGAUUGUAAACUCCUGUCAGCAGGGAAAAAGCGAUGAG
rnacentral:rRNA from 1 species